rnacentral:rRNA from 1 species
AUACAGAGGGUGCGAGCGUUAAUCGGAAUUACUGGGCGUAAAGCGCGCGUAGGCGGUUUGUUAAGUUGGAUGUGAAAGCCCCGGGCUCAACCUGGGAACUGCAUUCAAAACUGGCAGGCUAGAGUAUGGUAGAGGGAAGUGGAAUUCCGGGUGUAGCGGUGAAAUGCGUAGAUAUCCGGAGGAACAUCAGUGGCGAAGGCGACUUGCUGGACUAAUACUGACGCUGAGGAGCGAAAGCGUGGGGAGCAAACAGGAUUAGAAACCCCGGUAGUCC